GACAGAGGGUGCAAACGUUGCUCGGAAUUACUGGGCGUAAAGGGCGCGUAGGCGGCCUGUUAAGUCGAACGUGAAAUCCCCGGGCUCAACCCGGGAACUGCGUCCGAUACUGGCAGGCUUGAAUUCGGGAGAGGGAUGCGGAAUUCCAGGUGUAGCGGUGAAAUGCGUAGAUAUCUGGAGGAACACCGGUGGCGAAGGCGGGUCUCUGGGCCGAUACUGACGCUGAGGAGCGAAAGCGUGGGGAGCGAACAGG
rnacentral:rRNA from 1 species